rnacentral:rRNA from 1 species
CCCUUAGAUGUUCUGGGCCGCACGCGCGCUACACUGACGAAUGCAACGAGCUUAUAACCUUGGCCGAAAGGUCUGGGUAAUCUCCAAAUUUCGUCGUGAUGGGGAUAGAUUAUUGCAAUUAUUAAUCUUCAACGAGGAAUGCCUAGUAAGCGCAAGUCAUCAGCUUGCGUUGAUUACGUCCCUGCCCUUUGUACACACCGCCCGUCGCUCCUACCGAUUGAAUGGUCCGGUGAAGCGUUCGGACCGUGGCCAUUGGACGGUUCGCCGUCUGUUGGCUGCGGGAAGUUCGUUAAACCUUAUCAUUUAGAGGAAGGAGAANUCGUANCA